AUUGAACGCUGGCGGCAGGCCUAACACAUGCAAGUCGAGCGAGCGGCGGACGGGUGAGUAAUGUCUGGGAAACUGCCUGAUGGAGGGGGAUAACUACUGGAAACGGUAGCUAAUACCGCAUACCAUCAGAUGUGCCCAGAUGGGCUUAGCUAGUAGGUGGGGUAACGGCUCACCUAGGCGACGAUCCCUAGCUGGUCUGAGAGGAUGACCAGCCACACUGGAACGGAGCAACGGCCAAGAUUCCUACGGGAGGCAGCAGGGGGGAACAUUGCACAAUGGGGGCAAGCCUGAUGCAGCCAUGCCGCGUGUGUGAAGAAGCCCUUCGGGUGGUAAAGUCCGUUCAGCGGGGAGGCGUUACCCGCAGAAGAAGCAACGGCUAACUCCGUGCCAGCAGCCGCGGUAAUUC
rnacentral:rRNA from 1 species